ACACUACACCCGCUCUAUAAACUGGAACUAUGCCGCGGGGCCGACCACGAAAACAAAGGAUUAAAGAUGACAACGAAAUCGAUGGAGGUCAAGGAGCAAGUUCAGAGAGCCAGAAGCAUGCCGAAAACAAAUGUAAUGUUUGCUCCCAGAAUUUCCCUAGUGAGAGUCAACUUCAGAGACACCUGCGAGACCAUGAAGUCAAUGAUAAGCCAUAUCGGUGUGACCAGUGUCCGGCGUCCUUUAACGUGGAGUAUAACCUUGACCUUCAUAAAUCCACCCACACCACCAGUGAACUCAAAUGCCCGGUAUGCCAAAAGAAGUUCUCAAGAGUGGCUAGUCUGAAGGCUCAUGUGAUGAUACACGAGAAAGAAGAGAAUUUCCUGUGCUCUGAGUGUGGAGAUGAGUUUAUCCUGCAGAGUCAGCUUUCUGUGCAUCUGGAAGAACACCGGCAGGAACUCAGUGGAGCCAAGUCGUACACCU